rnacentral:rRNA from 1 species
CCACGGGUGAGUAACGCGUAUCCAACCUGCCGUCUACUCUUGGACAGCCUUCUGAAAGGAAGAUUAAUACAAGAUGGCAUCAUGAGUCCGCAUGUUCACAUGAUUAAAGGUAUUCCGGUAGACGAUGGGGAUGCGUUCCAUUAGAUAGUAGGCGGGGUAACGGCCCACCUAGUCUUCGAUGGAUAGGGGUUCUGAGAGGGAGGUCCCCCACAUUGGAACUGAGACACGGUCCAA